rnacentral:rRNA from 1 species
UACGUAGGGGGCAAGCGUUGUCCGGAAUUACUGGGCGUAAAGCGUGCGCAGGCGGCUUCGCAAGUCAGACGUGAAAUCCCCGGGCUUAACCUGGGAAUGGCGUUUGAAACUACGGAGCUGGAGUGUGGCAGAGGGGGGUAGAAUUCCACGUGUAGCGGUGAAAUGCGUAGAUAUGUGGAGGAAUACCGAUGGCGAAGGCAGCCUCCUGGGCCAACACUGACGCUCAUGCACGAAAGCGUGGGGAGCAAACAGG